GACGAACGCUGGCGGCGUGCUUAACACAUGCAAGUCGAACGGAAAGGCCCUGCUUUUGUGGGGUGCUCGAGUGGCGAACGGGUGAGUAACACGUGAGUAACCUGCCCUUGACUUUGGGAUAACUUCAGGAAACUGGGGCUAAUACCGGAUAGGAGCUCCUGCUGCAUGGUGGGCGUUGGAAAGUUUCGGCGGUUGGGGAUGGACUCGCGGCUUAUCAGCUUGUUGGUGGGGUAGUGGCUUACCAAGGCUUUGACGGGUAGCCGGCCUGAGAGGGUGACCGGCCACAUUGGGACUGAGAUACGGCGCAGACUCCUACGGGCGGCAGCAGUGGGGAAUAUUGCACAAUGGGCGGAAGCCUGAUGCGGCAGCGCCGCGUGCGGGAUGACCGCCUUCGGGUUGUGAACCGCUUUCGCCUGUGACGAAGCGUGAUUGACGGUAAUGGGUAAAGAAGCACCGGCUAACUACGUG
rnacentral:rRNA from 1 species